GGCAAAGAGCCCCAGAGGUUUAGAGGGCUGGCUCCAAAGCCAGAUUAUCUGGGUCCAAAUCCCAGCUCUGCCU
rnacentral:tRNA from 1 species